rnacentral:piRNA from 1 species
UACGCGGUGUCCGACCUGCAGGUGGGC